rnacentral:tRNA from 1 species
GAGUGUAGAGCUCAGUGGUAGAGUGUGUGCUUAGCAUGCACGAGGUCCUGGGUUCAAUCCCCAGUACCUCCA